AAAUUGAAGAGUUUGAUCAUGGCUCAGAUUGAACGCUGGCGGCAGGCCUAACACAUGCAAGUCGAACGGUAACAGGAAGCAGCUUGCUGCUUCGCUGACGAGUGGCGGACGGGUGAGUAAUGUCUGGGAAACUGCCUGAUGGAGGGGGAUAACUACUGGAAACGGUGGCUAAUACCGCAUAACGUCGCAAGACAAAGAGGGGGACCUUCGGGCCUCUUGCCAUCAGAUGUGCCCAGAUGGGAUUAGCUAGUUGGUGAGGUAACGGCUCACCAAGGCGACGAUCCCUAGCUGGUCUGAGAGGAUGACCAGCCACACUGGAACUGAGACACGGUCCAGACUCCUACGGGAGGCAGCAGUGGGGAAUAUUGCACAAUGGGCGCAAGCCUGAUGCAGCCAUGCCGCGUGUAUGAAGAAGGCCUUCGGGUUGUAAAGUACUUUCAGCGGGGAGGAAGGUGUUGUGGUUAAUAACCACAGCAAUUGACGUUACCCGCAGAAGAAGCACCGGCUAACUCCGUGCCAGCAGCCGCGGUAAUACGGAGGGUGCAAGCGUUAAUCGGAAUUACUGGGCGUAAAGCGCACGCAGGCGGUCUGUCAAGUCGGAUGUGAAAUCCCCGGGCUCAACCUGGGAACUGCAUUCGAAACUGGCAGGCUUGAGUCUUGUAGAGGGGGGUAGAAUUCCAGGUGUAGCGGUGAAAUGCGUAGAGAUCUGGAGGAAUACCGGUGGCGAAGGCGGCCCCCUGGACAAAGACUGACGCUCAGGUGCGAAAGCGUGGGGAGCAAACAGGAUUAGAUACCCUGGUAGUCCACGCCGUAAACGAUGUCUACUUGGAGGUUGUGCCCUUGAGGCGUGGCUUCCGGAGCUAACGCGUUAAGUAGACCGCCUGGGGAGUACGGCCGCAAGGUUAAAACUCAAAUGAAUUGACGGGGGCCCGCACAAGCGGUGGAGCAUGUGGUUUAAUUCGAUGCAACGCGAAGAACCUUACCUGGUCUUGACAUCCACAGAACUUUCCAGAGAUGGAUUGGUGCCUUCGGGAACUGUGAGACAGGUGCUGCAUGGCUGUCGUCAGCUCGUGUUGUGAAAUGUUGGGUUAAGUCCCGCAACGAGCGCAACCCUUAUCCUUUGUUGCCAGCGGUUAGGCCGGGAACUCAAAGGAGACUGCCAGUGAUAAACUGGAGGAAGGUGGGGAUGACGUCAAGUCAUCAUGGCCCUUACGACCAGGGCUACACACGUGCUACAAUGGCGCAUACAAAGAGAAGCGACCUCGCGAGAGCAAGCGGACCUCAUAAAGUGCGUCGUAGUCCGGAUUGGAGUCUGCAACUCGACUCCAUGAAGUCGGAAUCGCUAGUAAUCGUGGAUCAGAAUGCCACGGUGAAUACGUUCCCGGGCCUUGUACACACCGCCCGUCACACCAUGGGAGUGGGUUGCAAAAGAAGUAGGUAGCUUAACCUUCGGGAGGGCGCUUACCACUUUGUGAUUCAUGACUGGGGUGAAGUCGUAACAAGGUAACCGUAGGGGAACCUGCGGUUGGAUCACCUCCUUA
rnacentral:rRNA from 1 species